rnacentral:rRNA from 1 species
GACGAACGCUGGCGGCGUGCUUAACACAUGCAAGUCGAACGGAAAGGCCCUGCUUUUGUGGGGUGCUCGAGUGGCGAACGGGUGAGUAACACGUGAGUAACCUGCCCUUGACUUUGGGAUAACUUCAGGAAACUGGGGCUAAUACCGGAUAGGAGCUCCUGCUGCAUGGUGGGGGUUGGAAAGUUUCGGCGGUUGGGGAUGGACUCGCGGCUUAUCAGCUUGUUGGUGGGGUAGUGGCUUACCAAGGCUUUGACGGGUAGCCGGCCUGAGAGGGUUACCGGCGACAUUGGGACUGAGAUACGGCCCAGACUCCUACGGGAGGCAGCAGUGGGGAAUAUUGCACAAUGGGCGGAAGCCUGAUGCAGCAACGCCGCGUGCGGGAUGACGGCCUUCGGGUUGUAAACCGCUUUCGCCUGUGACGAAGCGUGAGUGACGGUAAUGGGUAAAGAAGCACCGGCUAACUACGUG